UCUGACACUGACUUAUCAUUAGGUGCCAUGACAUAAAACUUAUUAUAUGUCAUAAUAAUUUGAGAUAACCAUUUGUUCCUGAAAGAGAAACAGAACAUAAAUGAUGUUAAAGAUCGCUAUAUUUGCCUUUUCUGUGGUGGUUUUGGUUACUGCGAUAACGUACCGUGACUGUGUACCACACGAAGGUAAUAGAGUUGUGUCUGUGAGUAAAUUAGAAGUGACUCCAGACGUCAUCACAUUUCCCGGGACAUUUAACGUAUCAGUGACCCUUACGUUCAAUCGUGAGGUAAAGGAACCCUUUGUUGAUUUUGUAGCUGAUCAGAUACUUUCUCGGAUUUCCACUGAAGUUACCAUGCAGUGGCAGUUCCGUUGUUGGGACAUGUAAAGACAUUCCUAUCUGUUGGUUGUUUGAACGUUCCCUUAACGACACGGACCCCGCCCAUUAUGACAGCUAUGGCCAUAAAUUGGAGCGUCUGAUGAAUGCAACUACAGGGCACUUCUGGAAGUGUCCGAUCCAAAAACAAACUGUAGUUGUAGAAAACGCACCUGUCAAUCUAACUGAGAUCUCUCCUCUCAUCCAUCUACUUGCAAAUGGAGACUACAAGAUAACGGUUAUAGCAAAAGAGAACAAGACCGGACCUAUUAUCGGUUGCAUAGAAGUAAAUGCAACAAUUGGAGGAGAAAGUACUGGAUCUAUUUUCGGUUAACUUGUUCAUUUAAUGGUAAAACAACAACAACAACAACAAACGUCUAAA
rnacentral:lncRNA from 1 species